rnacentral:rRNA from 1 species
GACAGGAGGGGCAAGCGUUGUCCGGAGUAACUGGGCGUACAGCGCGCGCAGGCGGAGUGCGGACGUGCCGUGUCACAGCCCUGAGCUCACCUCAGGGUGGCCACGGUAGACGCCGCGUCUGGAGGCAGGGAGAGGGAUGUGGAAUACCCGGUGGAGCGGUGAAUGCGUAGAGAUCGGGUGGAACACCAGGGGCGAAGGCGGCAUCCUGGCCCUGACCUGACGCUGAGGCGCGAGAGCGUGGGGAGCAAACGGG